CAAGAUUAGAUAUCCCUCCUAGCUUGACUAGGUAAGGUCACUUGCAGACUACAAGUUUGAUAGGUCGGAGGUGUACGCACAGUAAUGUGUUUAGCUGACCGAUACUAAUAGACCGAGGGCUUGAACUAU
rnacentral:rRNA from 1 species